AGCUUUUUUACAGGAGUUCCCAAGGACUUUGAUUUUAAUAAUUCUACGUUUUUUUCUCUUUUUGCAGAAUUCUUGUCCAUUCGUCAGAGAAAUAGGUGUGCUUUUUGAAGUUAUUGAAAUCCGAAAACUCCAUGAAAACUUACUGUGUCUCGACAGUAAAGUGCCUUUUGUCGGUGUUGAUACUUCUCCAUUUUCAAAAAGUGAAGUUUGUAUGAUCAAAGCAAAUAGGAUCUUCCAAGUCUGGGAUGUUGAAGGUUCAGUGAAAGAGCCGAAAUUAAAAGGUCAAUUACCAACCAAAGUGCACUACGCGGAUAAUUGGUGCAAUUUCCGCUAUGGCAGUCAACCCAAUGAAGUUUUAGCCGCUGAUAGAAUCAACACUUUCCUUUAUGAUCUCAGGAUGGAUUUAACUAAACCUGCAAACCAGUGGAAUCCUUGGAAACAAAGCGAACUUUGCGAAGAAAUCUCCUUAUUACGCUUAAGUGCAGUCAGUCCAGUUCAUUGCUAUGUUGGAACUUCUCAUCAAAUAUUUUCUCUUGACUUAAGAUCCUCAUUUUGUCAGAGAUGGACUCAUAUGUUACGAACUGCUCCAUAUAUUGCCACUUCUGUUCGAAGAGAUGAUAUGGAAUUAUUACUAUUCUGUAGCCAACAUACACCCAGAGUAGAAUGUAUCAUCAAUGACUGGACGUCUGUUGAGGUCCCAGUCUCUCGUGUUUUUCCUAGAAUUCUCCCCUCCAUCACGGAUGUGUAUCAAGAGGCAAAACUAUCCAAUAUUUGUAACCAUCCCAUUGUUGAAUGCAGGUUUGACAGCUGUUUAACAGGACUGGCAUCAGUGAAGAAUGAAAAUGAUUUAGCUUUACUCAGUAACACCUCAUCAGGUGAUAUUUUUUAUCAAACCUUAAGUUUCUCAGAAGAAGCUGACCAAUCCAAACCAACACUGAAUAAAGUGGAAUUGAAGGCGUUGAAACAGUUUGAGAAGAAAUGUGUCAGAAAAUUUACUAUGGAAAAGAAGACUUUACAUGUUACCAGUGAUUUUGCAGAUUUUCAUGAGGUUGUUGAAAAGUUAAAGAAGGGGGAACCGGAGGUAAAAGAAGUAGAAAAACCCACUGUGGAGCACUGUGCAGGUUGGCAAAUACCAAAGGAUUUUCUUGAAAGCUGUAAAGAUUAUCUAGCCCCAAGACUACUGGAAACCUGGGACAUCAAGGAACUUCCUGACUGGUCCAUCGAACCAACUCCAGGUAAGGAACUAGAGGUGACAAGCUCAUGGCCAAAGAAACCUCCUAUUCAACAUAAAAGAAGUAUAAGAAUCCAAAAAGAGAAAAUGAACGAAUCAGAUAAACUUUUCAGGAAGGUAGGAGAAGAUGCAAAUGCUGAAAUGCCAGGUAUUGGAGAUUUGACUAAAAAGGUAGAGAAACCCACUGAAAAAGAAAGUAAAAAUCAAAAUAACAAGAGUGAUAACUCUGCAACUGGAGAUUCGACUAAAAAGGUAGAGAAACUCACUGAAAAAGAAAGUGAAUAUCAAAAUAAUAACAGUGAUAUGUCUGCAACUAUCACCAAGAAAAAUAAUACAUCUAAAAGGGUAUCAUUUCAUUGUGAUAAAGUGGAUGAAAGUUUUGACAAGGCCACUGUGAUUUCUAAAAUACUGGAAGAAGUCAGAAGAAGUAUGGAAAAUGGGUCCCAAGGAAAGAAGAAAACAAGGAAAAAAGAAAACAAAAAGAAUUAUACAAAUAUUGAAGUCGCAGCAAAGCAAGGAAAGCAGAAGGAACAUUUUGCCAAAAUUGCGGAGUUGGAGGAUAAAGAGGCAACAACAUUGAAUGCAGAAGAAAGAAAACGCCCGGAGAAGAUUGAAAACGCUACACAAAUACAAAAAUCCGUCGAAAACCUUAUCAAAGGAAGACGGAAAGAGAAGAAAAUUAAGAAAGACCAAAGUUGUAUGAAUCAAGAAAAAUGUACACAAAAAGAGAAUGGGGCAAUAUCAAUGACCUCUGAUUUAGAUCAAGUGAUACUUGAUGGAGUAAACCUAAUAACUCACUCACAAGGAACAGAUAUGAAGACUACUGAGAAAGAGAAAAAAGAGAAAAAGAGACCGAAGAAAAAAGAGAGAAACAUCAAUUCAAAUAACGAUACUGGAAAAGAAGUAGUCGUAGAAGUCACUAGAAAUAAUGAUUUACAAAGAAUUGGAAAGGCUUGCUCGGAGCAAAAAGAACUUAAAAUUUAGACAGAACUUCUGAAAUGUCUGGACUCCCUGAUCAAGAAAUACCUAAUCGCUAUGAAAGUGCCUCCCAAGAAUUCAUUUUACCAAGACUGGAAAAUUUUGAUGGUCAAAGCUCGUUAAGCCAGAAGUUAGAUCCUGAAAGGUCUGACCAGUCUCUUAAUCAGAACAGUUUCAAUCAGUUAACUGUUGUAUCUGCAAAACAAAAAGCCGAGAAAGAGAUCAGAAAAAAAGAAAGAAAAGAGAAGAAGAAGAAGAAAAAUAAAAAAGAGGAAAGGGAAAGUUCUCUCUCGAGUGGCACAGACUCAAAAGACUGCAAAACAGAUCCAAAAGAAUUCAAAAAUACUGAACAUUCCCAAAAAUCAAUAACAUCUAGUCCAAAGUUGCUUGAGGAAACUGUAAGUGUUUCCAACAAUACAAGCAUACCCACCUGUGGGACUUCACCCAUGCACAGAGAGCCCUCUCAAAAAUUAGAAGUUGGAAGUGGUGAAUUGUUCCUACCUCCUCCUGCUCGCGCUAAAGAAAGUUUGCAACAGUCACCUAGUAAACAAGAGCAAAUCACAAUACAAUCACCAUGUGGUAAUCACCAAAGUUUGAACUCAGAUAAGAUCUGUCACCAGCAAAUGGACCAUUUUGUCAGCAGCACAGGGGUUUCCUCCAUUCCUAAUCAUAGCAGGGUCUCCCCUGAUAUAUUCGAAACUACCUACAUAAUACCUGACAGGAUAAUGGAUCCCUCUGCUCAUGACAGCUCUACUACCUCAGGUUUUGAAACGGAUGAUACAAGCAAAAAAAGAAGAAAACGUUCCAAAAAAUUGAAAAAAUCACCUGAAGCAACCCCUGUAUCCUCUGGAAGUGAAUCACAAAAAAGCCAUUGUCAGAGUACAGAAACUAGUAUUUCUCUGUUGAAAAAUGUUAAAACGGUUUUCUCGCCUGCUUCAAAAGCUGUUCAUAAGGAGGCCUCCUUUGUAGAUGAGCCAAUCCCUGAACUAUCUUCAAACAAACUUUUGGAAACUCACCAUUCUGAAAAAGCAGAUAUCACUGCAAAUGACAGUUUCCUUGAUCAAAAUUCCCAACUUGAUUUUAUGUUGCCUGUAGCCACAAGCACACAAACUGUCUCAGCGAACAAAAACAUGCUGGAAGAUUUUGGCCUCUCAAUGCAAACAUCUUUUCACUCUCAAAAUUUAGGAGCUUUUGGAAAUAAAUUCAAAUCUCAUGGUGGCCUGAAUGAAUUUGAUUACUCAUAUGAUGAUGAUCCAACCAUGCAAUUGUCUGACUCUAGCUUGACGAGGAAAAGAAAAGCUUCAAUCCCUGAAAAAUCUCCGAAGAAGAAUUUACGAUUAUCUCAGACUUACACUCCUGGUUUUUAAAAAUGACAGCUGGAACAUCGCUCUUUUGUUACCUAGUAAUGAAAAAUUAUUUUUUACUCAAUUUUCAGUGGUUGAUUUUUUUAAAAUUUGCAUACUGUUUUAUAUUGUGCAAAUAUGUUUAUUUUUGUACCCAACGCCGUAAUUUUAUGCAAGAGAUUACUGUAUAGUUUUAAUUUCCAACUGUGAUUGCCUAGCUGAAAAAAUCCUUUUUAAGAUUUUAUCCUUUGAUUUUUUUGGAAUAAAUUAUUCAUUUUGUUUUUGAAUUUAUACAGUUUUUUUAACAUUUUUGUUCCUUUGUUUAGUCGCUCGAAAACUCGUUUUUAAUUGGAGUUACACUCACU
rnacentral:lncRNA from 1 species